ACGUACACUCCUACGGGAGGCAGCAGUGGGGAAUAUUGGACAAUGGGCGCAAGCCUGAUCCAGCCAUGCCGCGUGAGUGAUGAAGGCCCUAGGGUUGUAAAGCUCUUUCACCGGUGAAGAUAAUGACGGUAACCGGAGAAGAAGCCCCGGCUAACUUCGUGCCAGCAGCCGCGGUAAUACGAAGGGGGCUAGCGUUGUUCGGAUUUACUGGGCGUAAAGCGCACGUAGGCGGACUAUUAAGUCAGGGGUGAAAACCCGGGGCUCAACCCCGGAACUGCCUUUGAUACUGGUAGUCUUGAGUUCGAGAGAGGUGAGUGGAAUUCCGAGUGUAGAGGUGAAAUUCGUAGAUAUUCGGAGGAACACCAGUGGCGAAGGCGGCUCACUGGCUCGAUACUGACGCUGAGGUGCGAAAGCGUGGGGAGCAAACAGGAUUAGAUACCCGGGUAGUCCCAUGA
rnacentral:rRNA from 1 species